rnacentral:rRNA from 1 species
GAUGAACGCUGGCGGCGUGCUUAACACAUGCAAGUCGAGCGAGAAGACUUUGACGGAUCCUUCGGGUGACGGAUGAGUUGGAAAGCGGCGGACGGGUGAGUAACGCGUGGGCAACCUGCCCCAUACAGAGGGAUAGCCACUGGAAACGGUGAUUAAUACCUCAUGAGACCACGGUAACACAUGUUACAGGGGUAAAACUCCGGUGGUAUGGGAUGGGCCCGCGUCUGAUUAGCUAGUUGGUAAGGUAACGGCUUACCAAGGCGACGAUCAGUAGCCGACCUGAGAGGGUGAUCGGCCACACUGGAACUGAGACACGGUCCAGACUCCUACGGGAGGCAGCAGUGGGGAAUAUUGCACAAUGGGCGAAAGCCUGAUGCAGCAACGCCGCGUGAACGAUGAAGGCC